GGAAAUCUCUACGAGCAGGACCUCAGAUGAUUCAGUUGAGCCUCGAUGGGAAACGAUUGUAUGCGACAAACUCACUGUUCAGCGCAUGGGACCGUCAGUUUUACCCUGAACUCAUGGAUAAAGGCUCACACAUAAUUCAGAUUGAUGUUGAUACAGAGAAAGGUGGUCUUACCAUAAAUCCUGAUUUCUUUGUGGACUUUGGUGAUGAACCAGACGGUCCUGCGCUUGCUCAUGAAAUGAGAUAUCCGGGCGGAGACUGCACUUCCGAUAUAUGGAUUUGAAUCUGGCCCCUUGAAGAAGAGUGAGCUGGAUUUGACUCAUUUUUGUGUUUGUAGAGUGUAAUAAAUAAGAGUUUGCUCUAGACUCGUGUGUUUUGAUCCGGGCAAUGAAAAGCUGUUCUACUCUGUUGAGGUUUAAUCCGUGAUAAUAAAACUUUAUAUUGUGUCUCGAUCUGUCUUUUGAGUUUUGAGCAUUUCCAAUGGUACCAGUUUUAUUCUCUAAUGAAUGAAGAAAAGUGGGUAAAAAAGAGUUGAUAAUGUUGUCUAGACUGGCUGAGUGGUUGAUCCAAAGAUGAUUCAGUAACACCUCAAGCAUACGGAAAAACAGAACCGAACCAAAUCACAGUAUUUUGAAAUUUGAUAAGUCGCUGAUGAAAAUAUCUAUAAAACCAAAAUUCAAAAUUUCGAUUUGGUGGAAAAUCAAUCGGUUUGGUUCUUUUCGGUUUGGGACGAAUGCCCAGGCCUGGAACUGAUUCAUGUGUGAGAGUCAAGCAAUUACACUAUUUCUCUUCUUUUUACCUUACAUGUCUAACACAAAAAAAUAUAGUUAUCUAUAAAUUAAAAUUGUAUUGUUUGACAUCACUUGUUAGACUUUAGAUGUAGCCAUGUAGGCGAGUUGCAGUAUUAGAUGAAUCUCUAGUUACAUUUGUCACCACUUGCAGUGGUCAAUUAGUUUGAUUUAAUGGUGUGUUAACUCAAAACACAAUUAUAACUUUAGACACGCGUACCUUGUUGCCGCACCUAAAAAAGAUUUGGAGGAUCGUAUUAUUAUGUUUUUAUUAGUGAAAAAGAAGAUCGUAUUAUAUUGUAAUGAGUAAACGCACUAAAGACCGAUAGCAAAUGAAAUCAUUAAGAAACGGUUUGACCGAUAUAUUAAUUACAGCACAUUUUUACUUUUUCUAUUUCUCUCUUUUUUUUUUUUUUCAUAUGCAUGCAUGCGAUCAUGAUUUGUAUCAUUCCCUUUUCUUUUUAAAUAUCUUUUGAAAGAAGCUCUUUUUCUGUCUGUGACAUCCAAACUCAAUCACUUCUUCUUAACAUUUAAAAUGUCCAGCUUAUAAGAUAGAAUCUGUAGCAGAGAGGAUAGAAUCGACAGCUGAGCGGAUAGAAUCUGCGUUGAUUGUGAUUCUAUCCUCUCAACUGGACAUUUUUAAUAUUAAUCCUUGAAAAAAAAGAUUAAAAAGGAUUCAUAUGGGGUGUAUCUCAGAUAAUGAUAACCUUGAAUGUACAAUCUUUUUUCAAGUGACUUUUUAGUGUUUUUCAAGGAUUAAUAUGUUUAGAUUAAAUGAUAGGAUUAUGAAAUUUGAUUAUUCUUUUUUUUUUCUCACAACAGAUUAUAAGAAAGACAGAUGUAGCUGACAUAUAUGCAGCGAAUUACAUAUACAUGAAAACCAUGAAAGCACUUGAAAACAAGAAGAAUAUCUUGAUAAAUGAGACAAUGAUUUUUUAACUGUGAUUAAGGUAUUGUAUGAAGAAAAUCUAUGUAUAAUGUUAGCUCAACUUGAACAUUCAGAUAGAAAAUUACGUAAGGAGACAAAAAUAAGUUGGCUUUGGAAAUCAGAAGAUCCUAUUAAAGCUACUAUGAUAUAUUAGCAAAAAAAUCCAACAAAAAACUUUCAAAACUAUAAAAAAUCACACAAUAUGAACUUGCUAUCAUUCAACAACCUCGUCAAAAAUAGAGCAUACAUAAUGAUAAUGAGAUAUGUUAUUCAUAGUGUUAUAAACAUCAUGUUUCUUUUAAGUAAACAAAGGUAAAUUGAAUAAUACUUAAAGAAAUUUGCUUGCAUGAUUUUGGUCUGAUGCAUAUAGAAGAAUAGAAGAAAACUUUCAAUUUUAAAAUUUAUGGUCUGAUUGUAAAGAGUAAUGAUAUCCUUGAAGGUAAAAUCUUUUUCAAUUGGCUUUUUAGUGUUUUCUCAAAGAUUAGCAUGUUUGGAUUGAAAAUGAUAAACCUUUUUUUUUAGUAUUUUCUCAAGGUUUUUUUUUUCAGAAAAAUUUCUGAGAAAAACAGAUGUAGCUGACAUGUAUGCGAUUAAGGAAGUAUACAUGAAAGACUUGAGAGGAAUAUUUUGAUAAGAGAUUGAUUUUCCAUUAUGACUAAGGGAUUAUAUGAAGAAAAACUAUGAUUACGGGAUUUUCAGCACUUGAAUAAAGCUUGAAUAAAGCUCUCUCAUGAGCUAUCUUAUUUUCUGUUUUAAUUUCUAUCUUAUGUUGCUCAUUUGAGCAUCAAAUAUAUUUUGUUUCGAAUCCACUUACAAUAAGUAAGUUCUAAAAUCGCUUCCACACCAUUGCCACUACACACUGCAACACCAAUGCCGAAAUUACAGUAAACCCUCCAGCAAAUUGCAAUAAAAAAACAUAUUUCUUAACGUUCUUUGCCAUUUUCUUAAUUAAGUAAUAUUCAAAUAUGUGAUGUAAAUGUUCAUACUCACAACUUACCACAUACCACAUCAUUCUAUUUUUGUGAGGGCUUUUUUUUCUUCUUCCUCUUUCUUGAUUUUGGACUUUGGACAAAGUUUCAAAGUUCCAUCAUCAUUGGAUUUUGGACAAAGUUCCAAUUCUAUUAAUUGAGAAAAUAUCCAGUUGCAGUUACCAAUGAUACCAGAGGCACAACUAGUCAUAAAUCAUACCCGGCAAUUGUCAAAGCUUUUCGGAAAUUCUGGUUCAGUUUUGUUUUUAUUAUUUAAUGAUUGUAUUUAUCAUCGUUGAUUUAAUUUUUUAAAAAUUUUGAGCCUUUUUCUUUUAUUUUUUGGAGAAAAGACUCAUCAAUUUUUAGGUUUACUAGAUUUUACAUCCACGCUACGCGUAGGUAAUUUUUUUAAUACUAUCAUAUUAAUAGAAAUCAUACUUAAGCAGUUAUAUUUAUUUAGAUGUUAAUGUAUUGUAAUUAAAUUUAUCAAAAGUAAUUCAGUUUUAAUCUCAAAAUUUAUAUAUAGAUUUUGAGGUUUCAACGAUUUUAUUUUAUGUAUAUAUAUGUCGUUUAGAAAACAUAUUAUUUUGUUGAACGCUUAACAUUUUGUAUACCAAAAUCGAUCCAAAAUGUAACAAACUAAUUAAAUAGUAUUUAGUUAGUAUUAAUACGAAGAUAAAGUACUAUACAUCACUUAUUAGUAAAAAAAAAAAAAAAAUUUCAUCAGUUGCGUCCUUGUUAUGUAUGCUUUUUAUGAAAAUGAUAAAACUAAAAAUUAUUCUCUUUCCUUAGGUAGUUUAGUCGAUACAAAUUUUUGAUUUAUUCUAAAUUAAAAAUAAAUUAAUAAACACAAUUUUUGCUUUCAUAUAUUUUCAGUAAAGAUAUAUAAAAUAAAAUUUAAAACUAAUAUUAAAUCACAAAGAUCGAUGAAUCAAUAUAAAUUUUAGUUAAUUUUAUAUUAAAUUGAUAAAUACCAAAUUUUGUUUUUGAAUAAUAUAUUGUGUAUGAUAACUUCUAAAUAAUUUUUAAUUGACAACCAAGAAAGACAAAAAUUUUCUCCUUAUUUUACUGUUUUAAGGAAUACAAAUUAUACUUGAUAGCAUUUAUUAUCCCUUAAUAAACUAUUAAAUUAAUUUUUGAUAUAUAUAAAAAUAUAGAUUGAUCACAAAUUUAUUGCCACCCUUAAAUUAUGUUUAAACCACCAAUUAUCUCCAUAUAUUAAUAUAUGUGUUGUUUUAAUGUUGUAGUAAAUAUUAUUUUAAUUUGUUUUAUAAUAUUAACUUGUAUAAAUAUUUCAAAUUCUUCUAAUUCUUGUAGGUUAGGAUACUAAAAUGAUAACUAAAAACAAUAACAAAAUAAUUAAUUACUAUUUAAUAAAAUAAUAUUGAUACAAAAAAUUAGUAUAUGUGUCUUCUCUAAUAAAAGAAAGUAAGAUUUUUCAUCAUCUUUAAUUUCAUUUUUUAUAUCAGUUUUAUAAGAAAACUAAAAAUAAUUUUAAAAUUUAUUUUCUUUCUUUAAUUGAUUGCAUAUUAUUUUAUAUUUAAGUAAAUUUAUAUUUUUAAAAAAAUAUUCUUAAUUUAAUAUUAUUUUAAUUUUUUGUUGUUAAUGGAAAUUUAAUACAUUAUUUAUUUAUUUUUUAUAUAUAUUUUGUUAACAAUUAAUAUUCAUUUUUGAAAUUUAUUUUAAUUUUAAAUAUUGAUGUGAACCAAUAGAAUUAUCUUUUCUAAUCCUAUGUGGACACCCUUAGAGUCAUUUAGUAAUAAUAUGAUUCGCUUCUUACACCAAUGAACGUUGGCACGCAGUGGCGGAGCCACGUUAUAUAGGGUGGGGUCAGCUGCCCCAGUAAAAAAUAUAUAAUUAGUGUACUUUCUUAAAUAUAUCAAUUAUUGACCCCCAUAUCAAAUAAAUAUUUUCCCCCAUCAAAUUUUUUCAUUUGUUCAGUUACUUUAUUUGAUCAAUUGUUUUUAUAUAAUUGAGUUUUAUCCAUCCAAAAUUGAUAGCCAAAUAAAUUUACUUACUUUUUUCUAUUAAGAUCACUUAUAUUAAUUUAUGAAUUUUAGAUAUUUAGUUGAUAAAUAUGUACAUACAUCACACAUAAUAUAAACAUAUUUAAAGUUAACUUGUACUAACACAAUAACACAUUUUCUUCUUAAUCUUACAAUAUUUUUACUCUAACUCUUUCAAACAAUUUAUAAAAUUAUGUUUUCUGUAAAUUACAUGAUAACAAAAUUCUAAAAAAAAUUAUUGAAAAUGCUUUGAAAUUAUUCAUCAUAUAUACAAUAACUUAUGUGAUGAAUGUGGUAACUUACUAAUCAAAGUGUAACAAAUUUAAGACAAAAAAUAUAAAUGCAUUCAUACACUUUUUAUUUAUCAAUGUUUUAAAAUGGUAAAAUGGUAUAAUGUUUUUGAACUUUGAUAAUGAUUUAGGUUUUAAAAUUUUGUCCACGGUCAAAAAUAUUUCUGGCUCCGCCACUGUUGGCACGACUCGAUGUUUGAUCAUCACUCCUGAAUUUUAUAGAUUGGAUUUUUUCACCCAAUUAAGCUGAAGAUUCGCUGAUAUUUUGUUUGUCCCAUCUAGGUUCAGAAGAAAAUUAAAUACUUAUGUAAUAUAUUUAUAGAAUCAAGUUAAGAUUUUCAAGAAUAAAAACGUAUAUAUCUGAAAAUCACACGAGUUUCAUAUUUUCUAUGAAAGUUGGUCAGUUAAUUUAUAACUCUACAUUCAGUUAUCUACCAAAUAAGCCAUUUUUCAAAAUAGAACACUGCAGAUGCAACGUACGUAGACACCUGACCAGAUUCAUUUUUUGCUUCCAUAUUAUUUUGUUAACUGAUACGAUUUGCUUAAUUGUUUAAUCUGUUGUGUUUUUUUUUUGCAUGGAGACGUAUUUUAAUUCAAAUUCAUCACUCCAUAUUUUGAUAAACAAAUUACAAUUUUAGCAUUUAAAUACAAUUCAACCCUUAUUAAUAGCAAACGUGAACCAUAUAUUUAAACAAAAAGUCUUCGUAAGAUAACAGCAAUUAGUCAGCAAAAUUUGUUUGAUUGAUCUUGCUCACAAAUACAGCCAAAAGCAUCGCAUUGAUAAAUCUAAAUCACGUGUUUGUGUGUUUGUGAUAAAAUCAAAAGAGCGUCAGCGUCAGAGACGUGUAGCUUAUACCACUACGAUAUAUAAUAUAUAACAAAAUAUCUGAUCUCAAAGAGAGAGAGAGAAAUGGUGACAGAAACUAAAGUGGUAGCUCCGGUGAGCAACAGCGGAGGCAGAGGAUGUUGCAAGUCCGGUCCCGGUUAUGCGACGCCACUCGCGGCCAUGUCCGGUCCAUCGGAAAAGCUCAUCUACGUCACUGCCGUUUACUCCGGUAAAUAUGUUUUGUAAUCUAUUUAUACUGUUUCAGAAAUCAGAAUCAAGAUCGAAUGUUUUCAUAUAUAUUUUUUCAGAGAAAAAACCUUCUUAUUAAAGUUGAUUGAAGGUUUUGAGAUCUUGAGUAGGUCCUACGGAAUCUCCAAGAUUCUAGAUCGAAAUCACUAAACCUUGACAUCUCUCUGUUUACAUCUCCCGAUUUGCUAAGAUGUAUUGAUUGUAUGAUUUGUGUUCAAUUGACAUCAAUUCUUGUUCUGAUGAAUUCUUUUUUUUUUUUCACUUAAAAAGAACCUCUAUAAGAUCCUAAUUAAUCUCAAUAGAAAUAUCGAAUCCAAAUUUUCAUGCAAAAAUCGAGAAAUUGUCUAAAUGUUUUUAUAGCAAAAAAAAUCUCAAACGUAACCUCUCAUAUUUCUCUGGCUUGUUUCCGGUUAAGUUUCCAAGACAAAAUCAGCUAUGAUAAUAUUAGGUAAGAUUAAUUCCUCUGGCUUGUCUCUGGCUCGUACACACUCUGACACCUUUUUGAUUUGUUUAAUUGGAAUUUUAAGGAACUGGACGAGAGAAGCCGGACUACUUGGCCACGGUGGAUGUGGAUCCAACCUCAGAGACAUACUCUAGUGUCAUUCACAGAUUGCCAAUGCCUUUUGUUGGUGAUGAGCUUCAUCAUUCUGGUUGGAACUCUUGCAGCUCUUGCCAUGGUGAUGCUUCUGCCGAUAGACGUUAUCUCGUGUUACCAUCCCUUAUGUAAGAUCCUUUCCCCUUUUAACCUACUUACAUCUCUAUAACUUUAUUUCGACAUGAUGACCAAAUAGAUGUUUCUUUCUUUUUCUUGUUUAAAUGAAGAUCUGGUCGCAUCUAUGCUAUUGACACAAAGGAAAACCCAAGAGCUCCGUCUUUGUAUAAGUAUGUAGAUCCUAAAGAGAUUGCUGAAAAGACUGGAUUGGCGUAUCCACACACGGCUCAUUGUCUUGCCUCAGGUGAAAUCUUGGUUUCCUGUCUUGGAGACGAAGAGGGAAACGCUAAAGGGAAUGGGUUUCUCCUUCUUGAUUCUGAUUUUAACAUCAAGAAUAGGUACCUUAUUGCACUAAAUCAUUCUCUUUUAGUCAUAUAUACCACACUGUUGGUGAUUAUCACUUUUAAAGUUUACAAAAACUAUAGAAAGUUUACCACAUAGAUGGAUAGCCAAGGAAAGAGAGAAGCAUUAAAAUGGAAUUGAUGUGUAUGGUUUUUUUGGUGGGAUCUCUCAGGUGGGAGAAACCAGGACAUAGUCCCUUGUUUGGUUAUGAUUUUUGGUACCAACCUCGUCACAAGACAAUGAUCAGCACUUCUUGGGGAGCACCUAAAGCCUUCUCCAAAGGUUUCGAUCUCCAGCAUGUUGCUGAUGGCUUGUAUGGAAGCCAUCUACAUGUUUAUAGUUGGCCAGGAGGUGAAAUGAAACAAUUAAUUGACCUUGGAGAGACUGGUCUCUUACCUUUGGAGGUAACAUAAUCAAAGAUCCUAUAUAAAUGUGAUCUGUGUUUUUCUUCAGAUCAACAUAUAAUCAUUACAGGUUUGUUUUUCUCAAACUUACAUGUUGUACAGAUUAGGUUCUUGCAUGAUCCGUCUAAAGAUACAGGGUAUGUUGGGAGUGCCUUGUCAAGUAAUAUGAUCAGGUUUUUCAAGAACAGUGAUGACACAUGGAGCUAUGAGGCAAGUGUAGUUUCUGAAUCAUCUUCAUUGCCUCUUUAUGUUCUUUCAAAUCUAUAAUUAACCAGCAAUGCCAACUAUUUUCUAUGUAGAUUGUUAUAUCAGUUAAACCAUUGAAAGUAGAGAACUGGAUUCUUCCAGAAAUGCCCGGGCUUAUCACCGACUUCUUGAUCUCCCUUGAUGAUCGGUUCCUCUACUUUGUGAAUUGGCUUCAUGGAGACAUUCGUCAGUACAACAUCGAGGACCCUAAAAACCCUGUCUUAACCGGACAAAUUUGGGUUGGAGGAUUACUACAAAAGGGCAGUCCUGUUAAGGCGGUUGGAGAAGACGGCAACAGUUUCCAAUUUGAUGUUCCUCAGAUCAAGGUCUGUGCCAAGACUGUAACCCUUUUGUGGGGGUUUUAACUAAGUUCUACAUUUUGCAUUGUGUUGAAAACUGUUUCUUGUUUGGUACUUUUAGGGGAAAUCUCUACGAGGAGGACCUCAGAUGAUCCAGCUAAGCCUCGAUGGGAAAAGAUUGUAUGCGACAAACUCGCUGUUUAGCGCGUGGGAUCGUCAGUUUUACCCUGAACUCAUGGAUAAAGGCUCA
rnacentral:lncRNA from 1 species